UAGUCAAACACAACAGUUGUCACCCGUGCACCAAAUAUGGUACACUAUCAGUUCAGACUGAUAUAACAAUGUUACCAAAGCAUUUCUUAUGAAAGCUUGGUUAUGAAAGCCUGCUGUCGCUGCAACACCUUGGCUAAACGCUGUCACGUCGGGACGCCAGUAGUGGUCAGUCUGACUUUUUGACACUAAUAUCUGCGUUGGAGGACUUCACGACCAAAGUCAGCGAAGAUCACCAGACACAGACAAUCCUUGGUCCCUGAGCACGUUGUCGUUUCCCCUCGGGCCCAUUAUCAGAUCCCCUCUGUAGGCUCCCAGCAGCUGCAGUUAUUGUGGAAGACUCUACUUUUAUAGCCUCAUGAUGUCUGUGACAACACCAGCUUUUAUGACAGAAGACCCAUUCCCUCAGAGGUGCUCCGCUUCCUAAAGCAACGACUUCGCCUGAAUGACGUGGCUUGCACUGUGUGCCAGUGGUUCAUCUUCAGCAUUCCGCCACGCUUCCCUUUGACCUCAGUGUUUCUCAGACGGGGACAAUAUGGAGGCCGAAGCCCUGGCCCUGCAGUUUGAGCUGGUCUCCAUGGUAACUAGUGGCGGUCGUAGGCAGUGGCAGCAGUGGGAGGUGCGGAGCCACGGGAUGCGGCACUAUAAUAAUAAGGGGAACCUGAAAGUUAACAGAAGAACGAGCCGUUGGAAACCAUGAGGUCAAACUUCAACAUGAGGCAGCCAGCCAGCCACGGUGCUAUUCCAGCCGCUGUCAAUCAACAGGCUAUCAUAGCCUUUGAUGACAACGUCGUGUCGCGGCGAGAACAGCAGCUGUCUCUUAUGAGAAGUGCUCCCAGUCAAUCUGUUAGCGGGCCAAUCCAGGCUAACACAAUAGCCAGUUAGGAGCAGCGUGUGAAAGGCCUGUAGGAUUUAAUGGGCUCAGAUGAUAUAUCACCUCGCUCUGGAAAUAAACACACGGAGUGCCUCCAAAAAAAAAAAAAAAAAAAAAAAAGUGCCAUGAAAGAGGAGCUUUUUCAUUUGGUGAUAAGAAUUAUAUCACUGGAAAAUGUGCAUGCCAUCAGGAAGUGGCAGCCAAAACUGAUGAGUCAAUGAUGAUGCAAUAUCUUAAAUAAGAAGUAGCUGAAUGUGAUUUUUUCAAUACCAAAUCCACUCAGAGAAUUUAUUCUAAAUUUGUGAUGUUUAAAAUUGUAAUCCAUUCAUCCCUGACAAUAAUAUGCACAAUGAGUUACUAUAUGUAAAAGUGAAAGCCCAAAAAAGUCAGCAAUGUGUCCCCUCAAACCCACAUCUCAACUGACAGGAUGCGACUGAGAGACUUUGCAGCAGAAACAAAGCUAAACACACUAUAUUUGUGUUCUGAACAAUGAGUCCUGCAAAAUCGACCACCAAGAUGUCUUCGACCUGCUGCUUCUGCUAUGCGCAUUCUUUCAGGGAUCAAUGUAGCAUGAGUCAGAUUGUACCUGUCACAACAGAGUAGCUCUGGGAGACACUGGAGGCGAGGUCGGAGCUGGCACUGGUGGAGAGGCUUGGCUUCACGUCUUCCAGGCCAGCAUUCAGGGAUGGGAGAGAGUACUCAUUCGCCUGUAGACAAACACGCAACAAAUGCAAAAAAUAUGUCAGCGGAGAGAUGCACCUGUGAAUAGGUGGCAGUCUGAAACUUUCAAUUCAAACUUUUUAUAUUUAAUAUAAUUUCACAUUCCACCAGACUGUGUCAUGAUCUGGUUAAUAUCACUGCCAUACUACACGCGAGCCCACUUUGAGUUACAGAUCUACUAGUUUAAGUGACAAUAUGUGAAAUAUGUCUGAGGAUAACCCCUGGUGUAUUUGAGAGAGCUGUCUGUGAUCCUCUCACUGUGUUUCCAUCUGAAUAUUUCCUGUGAAUUCUGUGUACACUCUGCGCCCCUCUCUCAGCCCAUCCUGUCCCCGCUCCCUGUGCUUUACCAAGGCCCAUGAUGUAUGCAUGCAUUAAGGCUUGUCUGAGGAGAAGGCAGAAAGGGAGAGAGGGAUGAGAGAGGGAUUGGGAGAGGAGUGAAAGGACGGGGUGUCAGCUGGCUCUUUGUGCUCCACUGCAGUCAUCCCUGUGACCAGUCAAGGGAGGAGACAUUCAGGGCUUUGUUACAGGAGAGACAUGUGGUGUUUUUUUUUUUUUUUUAAAGGGGAGUACAACCUCAAAAUCAACCUUUGUGCUUUGCCUCCAGGAUGAACACAUAAACCUGGGUUAAUAAAAUGAUAAAAUACUGAG